rnacentral:rRNA from 1 species
UGGGGAAUAUUGCACAAUGGGCGCAAGCCUGAUGCAGCCAUGCCGCGUGUGUGAAGAAGGCCUUCGGGUUGUAAAGCACUUUCAGCGAGGAGGAAGGGUGGUGUGUUAAUAGCGCAUCACAUUGACGUUACUCGCAGAAGAAGCACCGGCUAACUCCGUGCCAGCAGCCGCGGUAAUACGGAGGGUGCAAGCGUUAAUCGGAAUUACUGGGCGUAAAGCGCACGCAGGCGGUUUGUUAAGUCAGAUGUGAAAUCCCCGCGCUUAACGUGGGAACUGCAUCUGAAACUGGCAAGCUAGAGUCUUGUAGAGGGGGGUAGAAUUCCAGGUGUAGCGGUGAAAUGCGUAGAGAUCUGGAGGAAUACCGGUGGCGAAGGCGGCCCCCUGGACAAAGACUGACGCUCAGGUGCGAAAGCGUGGGGAGCAAACA